rnacentral:rRNA from 1 species
UACGUAGGGCGCAAGCGUUAUCCGGAAUUAUUGGGCGUAAAGAGCUCGUAGGCGGUUUGUCGCGUCUGCCGUGAAAGUCCGGGGCUCAACUCCGGAUCUGCGGUGGGUACGGGCAGACUAGAGUGAUGUAGGGGGAGACUGGAAUUCCUGGUGUAGCGGUGAAAUGCGCAGAUAUCAGGAGGAACACCGAUGGCGAAGGCAGGUCUCUGGGGCGGUACUGACGCUGAGACGCGAAAGCGUGGGGAGCGAACAGG